UACGUAGGGGGCAAGCGUUAUCCGGAAUUAUUGGGCGUAAAGCGCGCGCAGGUGGUUCCUUAAGUCUGAUGUGAAAGCCCACGGCUCAACCGUGGAGGGUCAUUGGAAACUGGGGAACUUGAGUGCAGAAGAGGAAAGUGGAAUUCCAAGUGUAGCGGUGAAAUGCGUAGAGAUUUGGAGGAACACCAGUGGCGAAGGCGACUUUCUGGUCUGUAACUGACACUGAGGCGCGAAAGCGUGGGGAGCAAACAGG
rnacentral:rRNA from 1 species